rnacentral:rRNA from 1 species
GACGAACGCUGGCGGCGUGCUUAACACAUGCAAGUCGAGCGGUAAGGCCCUUUCGGGGGUACGACGAGCGGCGAACGGGUGGAGUAACACGUGGGUGGACCUCGCCCUCCAGCUCUGGGAGUAAGCCGUGGGGAAACCGGGGUACUAAUACCGGAUAUGACUCCAUGACGCAUGUUGGUGGGGUAGGAAAGCCUUGUGCGGCUGAGGAUGGGCCCGCGGCCUAUCAGCUUGUUGGUGGGGGNGAUGGCCUACCAA